UACGUAGGGCGCAAGCGUUGUCCGGAUUCACUGGGUGUAAAGGGUGCGUAGGCGGGAAGGCAAGUCAGAGGUGAAAUCUCACGGCUCAACCGUGAAACUGCCUUUGAUACUGCUUUUCUUGAGUUAGGGAGAGGUCGAUGGAAUUCCAGGUGUAGCGGUGAAAUGCGUAGAUAUCUGGAAGAACACCGGUGGCGAAGGCGAGUCCCUGGACAACACCUGACACUGAGGCACGAAAGCUAGGGGAGCAAACAGG
rnacentral:rRNA from 1 species